rfam:Mesocricetus auratus contig197601, whole genome shotgun sequence.
AGGAAUAUGGUGAUAAAUGAAUGUCUCUAAAAGAGUUGAUGACACAAAAAUCAUACUCAAUAACAUAACAAUUAAUCCC